GUAGGUGGGCAAGCGUUGUCCGGGAAAUUAUUGGGCGUAAAAGCGCGCGCAGGCGGGGGUCCUUUAAGUCUGAUGUGAAAAGCCCACGGGCUCAACCGUGGAGGGGUCAUUGGAAACUGGGGGACUUGAGUACAGAAGAGGAAAGCGGAAUUCCAAGUGUAGCGGUGAAAUGCGUAGAGAUUUGGAGGAACACCAGUGGCGAAGGCGGCUUUCUGGUCUGUAACUGACGCUGAGGCGCGAAAGCGUGGGGAGCAAACAGGAUUAGAUACCCUGGUAGUCCACGCCGUAAACGAUGAGUGCUAAGUGUAGGGGUUUCCGCCCCUUAGUGCUGCAGCUAACGCAUUAAGCACUCCGCCUGGGGAGUACGGCCGCAAAGGCUG
rnacentral:rRNA from 1 species